GUAACACUUCAUCAACAUCUUCGUCAUCAUCUACCAGCGAUAGUGAAGACUCAAACAAGGAUGAAAACCUAGAUACAAAUUUUCCUGGAGUUGACUCUGAUGACAGCGUCAAGGAUCCGAAUUAUGGUUCAUCAUCAAGAUGUACAGAUUCAACAUCCAGUGAUUCGGAGUUGGAUGAUAUAGCGCAAACUGGAUCAGCUCCAGAAAAAUUACAAUCUGCGACGUCAC
rnacentral:misc_RNA from 1 species